rnacentral:lncRNA from 1 species
GGAGAAGGUCUUCAUAUAUCAGAGUGAACGAGAUCAAAAGGAGCAACAGAAACAAAGGUAUUUUUAUUAAAAGGCAAUGCAAGAAAUUUUGCUAAUACACAUCCACUACAAUUAGAAAUGUCAUCUAUUUUCAAAUGACCUAAUGCCCAGUAGAAACUAAGAAUUUUAAACGAGAUACUAAAACAUGACCAAGAUGAGAAUGCCAUAAAUAAAAGGUAGAAAAUAAAUGAUUCAAACGGAAAUAUGACAAAUCAACACUAGAAGCUGCAAUUUCUAGUACUUCAAGCAUAUCCAAAACAUAAAGUCUCCCCUGCCUAUUGCCGGUCCCAAUCACCUUAUGAGAUUGUGUGUCCUACACAUGAAGAAAAAUAUACUAAAUAUCCAAAUUCACAUAAUUCGCUAACAAAAACAAGAUUUAGAGUAAGACUAUGAACGUGAUAGACAUCAUUGAGAGAUAAACAAUAUGUAUGAAUAGAACCAACGCCUACUAUAGGCAUAGAAGUACCAUCAGUGGUUACAAUUGACACAGGAGACUUGGGAGAUAAUGAAACAAAGAAGUCUAAAUUAGGUGAGAUAUGAUAGGAAGCCUCCGAAUCUAAGACCCACAAAGAAGAUGAUAUACUUGAAAAACUAGAAGACGACAAACCUAUAUGAGAGGCAGACAAUGCAUGUGGCAGUGUUGCAUCUGACCGUGUUGCUAGAGAGUUUUGAAACUGCUCAAACGUGGAUGGUCCUACAAAGAAUGACGAGACGUGAUUAAUUCCAAAAUUAUUCUUGGCUUAUGUGCGUGUCUGUUUUUCUCGAACGGCAAG